rnacentral:lncRNA from 1 species
AAGCAAGGAUAUGAUAAUAAAUAAAACUGGAAAUGGAACAUGAUGACACUUACACUGUUAUUUUCCUAAGGUUAUUUCUUCACCUUACAGAAGCAGAUAUGGAUUGCUGAUUAUAUAGCCCAGUGACUCCAUUAGUAAGCUGCUGCCCGUUUUUCCGCCGUUUCUUUACAACUGUAAAUCCUUCGCCAUCUCCGGGUUUCUUAUUAUUUAUAUCCAACGCUUUUGGUUCUUCAUUGCUACUGGAUUGAGAAUCCAAGUCCUUUCCUUCAUUCCCAUAUAGAAUUUUUAUUAUUGCAGUGUCGCUUGUAACUGCAUCCGAAGAGUUUUGGGAAUGGUUGAGCCUUUUGUCAUUGAUUAAAGCCUCACAUUCACCAUCCAUGUUCUGCUUGGCGGACCGGACAAUGAAGCUAAGCAAAAUCUGCCUUGCCACCUCGGAUUUCUCCUCUGCGCUGCUCUUUUUUGGAUUAGAACCGUUAACUUCCCUACUCAACUUCUUAUCAACUUCCUUCACUUCUGUGUUCAUAGCUUCUUCAGAGCCACUCAAAUCACCAGUUCCAGUCAUUUGCCAAAUUUUGCUUGGAACGAACUCAGGUGCAUGAGGGUUCAUAACUCUCGGAGAUCCAAAUCCAUUUUGUUCCAAAAUAGGAGUUUGGUAUCUAAGAAAGCUACCGUAAGAAUUAUUGUUUCUGUAAAACAAUGGCGACCUUGGCCCGCAAGGAACUCGAGCAGCAACUGGAGGUACAACAGGCUCAACAAGCAUGCCUUGACUAGCUGUUACAUCAUAAACACAUGUAACAGAAACUGAGUUUAAAGGGUGAUAGAGUGCUCCG